rnacentral:misc_RNA from 1 species
UACGAAGGGGGCAAGCGUUGUUCGGAGUUACUGGGCGUAAAGGGCGCGUAGGCGGCGCUCCAAGUUAGGCGUGAAAGCCCCGGGCUCAACCUGGGAAUUGCGCUUAAGACUGGAGUGCUCGAGUGCGGAAGAGGUGAGUGGAAUUCCCAGUGUAGAGGUGAAAUUCGUAGAUAUUGGGAAGAGCACCAGUGGCGAAGGCGGCUCACUGGUCCGCAACUGACGCUGAGGCGCGAAAGCGUGGGGAGCAAACAGG